rnacentral:lncRNA from 1 species
UUCUAUUUUUCUAUCUCCGAUCUAUCUAUUUUCUUUAGUUAUUCACUAGAACAAUUAUGAUCUGGAAGUCGAUCCGGGGCAAGUGUUCGGAUCUAUUAUGACAUAGCUAUGAGGCGCUCAACGGACCUUUUUAAUCUUAUAAAAACGUUUUUAGGCUUUGGAUUAAUGCAAAAACAAUAGACAUCGACAGCAAUUAGCUUAUCGACUCUCAAUUAUAAGUUCUUAGAUGGAGUUGCUUCAUGUUUUACUGUUUUACAUAGAACAUAUUACUAUUAAUCUAUUUCAAAUCACCCGAACAGCCAUUAGCCAUUACUAAUAGAUAUCCUGAUCUAUAUAUUUAGAUCAUUCGAAGGUCUCUUUUCUUAGUUUUAAAAGAAAGAUAAGAACGAAGUAUAUUUUGUACUCUAUCUAUGUAUCCUUUAUCCCUACGAAACACCAAAUGAAAUAGAACGCUUAGAAGGGAUAUAAUGAAAUUUUUUGAUUGGUUCUUCCCAGAGGAAUGAUCCCUUUUAUUUGUUAUUUGACUGAUGGGGCCAAGAAAUAAUUAAUUAUAACAAAUAAAAAUAUAUAUAAAUCCUAAAUAACUAAAUAAUAAAAAAUGGUGUCUUCUUUUAUUCGAAACGCCUCGUGAUCUUCAACCAAUUAUGCGCUUCAAUCAAUUACCCGACUUUUUUGUUUGAUUUGAUUCUGUCGAGUGAAUACAAUUAAAUACAAUCAAGCGGAAUCCUAUUUUGAUGCAACAAAAAAAAAUGAAUGAAAUAGAAAAGAUAAAAAAUCAAUAUCCAUAAAAGAAGAUGGGUAUAAAAACU